AUCAAUAGUUUUUUUAUGGGGAUAAAUUUUCGAAAGUAUCGUAAAUAAGACAUUGAAAAGAUUCUAUAUUAGAUACCUAUAAUAUGUAUGGAAAAAAAAACAGAAAUCGAAUUUUUACAGGUUAUCAUCGAUGGUACGUGAUAAAAGAAUCGUCCUGUAUAAUAUUAUAAAUAUAAAUAUUUUUUUUAAGAAAACAGCAACAGACAUAUGUCGU